rnacentral:rRNA from 1 species
UUCCAGACUCCUACGGGAGGCAGCAGUGGGGAAUAUUGCACAAUGGGGGAAACCCUGAUGCAGCGACGCCGCGUGAGUGAAGAAGUAUUUCGGUAUGUAAAGCUCUAUCAGCAGGGAAGAAAAUGACGGUACCUGACUAAGAAGCCCCGGCUAACUACGUGCCAGCAGCCGCGGUAAUACGUAGGGGGCAAGCGUUAUCCGGAUUUACUGGGCGUAAAGGGAGCGCAGGCGGCGCGCCAAGUCUGAUGUGAAACCCCGGGGCUCAACCCCGGGCAUGCAUUGGAAACUGGCGGGCUGGAGUGCCGGAGAGGUAAGCGGAAUUCCUAGUGUAGCGGUGAAAUGCGUAGAUAUACGGAGGAACACCAGUGGCGAAGGCGGAUUGCUGGACAGUAACUGACGCUGAGGCGCGAAAGCGUGGGGAGCAAACAGGAUUAGAUACCCUAGUA